rnacentral:rRNA from 1 species
CCUACGGGUGGCAGCAGUGGGGAAUAUUGCGCAAUGGGCGAAAGCCUGAUGCAGCGACGCCGCGUGAGGGAUGAAGGUCUUCGGAUCGUAAAGCUCUGUCAGCAGGGAAGAACGGUCACUGUGCUAAUCAGCAGUGCCUUGACGGUACCUGCACAGGAAGCACCGGCUAACGCCGUGCCAGCAGCCGCGGUAAUACGGAGGGUGCGAGCGUUAAUCGGAAUUACUGGGCGUAAAUGGCUCGUAGGCGGUAGGUCAAGUCACGGGGGAAAUCCCCGGGCUCAACGGGGGAACUGCCUUUGAAACUGGCAAACUGGAGUGUGUGAGAGGAUAGUGGAAUUCCAGGUGUAGGGGUGAAAUGCGUAGAUAUUUGGAGGAACAUCAGUGGCGAAGGCGACUAACUGGAACAUAACUGACGCUGAGGAGCGAAAGCGUGGGUAGCAAACAGGAUUAGAUACCCCAGUAGUC